rnacentral:lncRNA from 14 species
GCCAGCUUUCCGUCAAGCCUCUUCUACCACUGUCUCUUUGAUUGGGACCUUUCUACAUCAGUGACCUGCUUGUCCCUAAGUGACCCUGUCUCUCUGUGGCCUCGUCUCCACUAAGGAAGGCAUCCUCAGAACCCAUCUAGGG